AUCGGAGCUACAAGCUGAACUCCGGACUGUUUGUAGUGAAAGCUGGUUUCUCAUUUGCACUUUUUUGCUCAUAGAAAACAAAGUUUAGUCACAUAAAAAGCUGAGAAAUGUUGGUGUCGGAGUCUUCCUGAACGCAACACGUACCAGAGGAAACACCAAAGUCCAAGGAAGUCUCAGGAGAAGAGAUUUGUGUCCUGGUUGGUCACCAGAGACUCCAUAAAGUCCCGGCCCAGAACGAGUCCAGCACCACCCAAAUGUUUCCCAUACGACCAAACAAACUGGGCUCCACGUCGACUGGGAUGAACGAUAACACAGUUCAUCAGGUCCGUGUGCUUUUCUGCGAUGAGUCGGACAAGAUGAAUUUCUUUUCAUCAUGUGCAACACUCCAUCACACAGCCGCCUGCUGAGGUGAAAGAACACGAGGCCACUUCUGAUCAGACAAACAGGAAGUGAGCCCGUCUCGGUGUUCACACAAACAGGUGACGGCAAAAAGCGAGCGGACAACACGUGAAGGCGACGCACACUAACACAUACGUGUUAAUGGAUGAAUACUGGAACCACGUCAGACAUGGAACAAGUUUUCUGCUGUGCUGUGUGCCGCCAUCACAUCCCACCGCCCCCGAGUCUGUGUGAGGCGGGAUGUGGUUUAUAUUAACAGGAUGUUGUUGCCACAUUUGCUAUCAGACGGUCAACCUGCAGACACCAUGAGGACAACGCUGCUUUUCCUCCUCCUGACCUGCCGGCUGUCUUCACAAAGUCCUGGUUCUGAGCCGUGUGUGUGUACAUGUAAGUGUUGUGUUCGCCGUUCAGUACUUUUCAUUGCUGCUUCAGUUUGCUGUGGAUGUUGAUGUUCUGCACGAACUCUGAGGAACCAAAACAAAAAAAAACGAAACGAAAGACUUUGGAUGUGCGAUUACCACAUUUCGCCUUCCUCAGUGAGCAGAGUCUGUCCUGCCCACAAACAUACGGCAUCAGGCGCCACUAAGGCGCCUGCUCAGGAUGAGCUGACGGCGCCCUCUAGAGGUCGCAGCAGGACGGGAGGUGGAUGGGAGUGUGAUCGCCAUCGUCACUAAUGUGGCUUUUAUUGUACCAUAACAAUGAAACUCUGUUAUCUCUGAUGAGGCCGGGGUGUUUCCCCAAACCUAACCAAUCCUUAACCAGAGUGUUGGCACGCCACAGAUUGGUUGACCAAUCACAGACUGAUGAUGUCAUCCUGCUGGCUGGCAGAACAGCUGUGAAGACAUAAGAACCACACCUGUGUGACUGGGCAAUGGCAGAAGGACUCACACAUUCCUGAUGAUGAAUUAAACGCACAACACGACUCAAAUCAUGAAAACAUUUGUGUACAUUAGAACAUUCGAGCUAAGAUCUUAGCAUUUCAUUGGCUGAUGGUUAGAAGAUUCGAAUGUGAUUUCUGUCAGAGAAACACAUCAGAGAGGAACAGCAGGCCAACCAAACCGGGUCUCUCCAAACCUGAUGUUGUCCAAGUUAUCCAAGAGUGCAGUCCAGAGACCAGCCGGUCCAGCAGUGAGGCAGGAGAGUUUUCUGAUUCUGUCUGUCUGUCUGUCUGUCUGCCAGCCUCUCUGAAGGUCUCCCCCAGCAGGUCUCAGUAUUUCGAGUACGAAAACGUCUCUCUGAGCUGCGAGCACUUCGACUGCGGCGAAUGGAAGGUGUGGAGAUACACGACACCGAGUGUUUCCAGUACAGAACCCAGUUUGUCCCGGUGUGGGGACGGCUGGGGCAGCGAGACAUCCUCCACCUGCGAAAUGAAGACGAUCAAGCGGACGGACAACGGAGUGUACUGGUGUCAGUCCCAGUCCAGAGACAGCAGCCAUGCGGUCAACAUCACCGUCACAGGUGGUCCGGUGAUCCUGCACAGUCCUGCCCUCCCUGUGACGGAGGGACAUGACGUCACCCUGCGCUGCCAAGCAAGGAGCCACCCCUCCAGCCUCACCUUUUUUAAAGAUGGCACCCGAAUCAGGACCGAGCCGACGGGUCACAUGACCGUCCACAACUUUUCCAAGUCUGAUGAAGGUGCUUACAAGUGCCAGGCUGGAGGAAAAGAAGAGUCUCCAUCCAGCUGGCUGCUGAUGAAAGAUGAUUCCAAACCGGCUCUGCUCACAGCGUCGCCCAACUCCAUCCAGCUGUUUGAGUACGACAACGUGACUCUGAGCUGCGGCCACACCAGCAUCUCGCAGGGAUGGAAGGUGAUCAGGGCCACGAGGAACUCUGAUGGCAAGCUGAGCUUACAAAGCUGUGGCACGAAAUGGGGCACCCCGACCCCCGUUGGCUGCAUCCUCAAAAUAGCCAAGUAUCCUGACAGUGGAGUCCACUGGUGCGAGACGUCUGCAAGGCAGCGGAGCAACCCGAUCAACAUCAACGUCGCUGACGGACCGGUGAUCCUGCGGAGUCCUGUCCUCCCUGUGACGGAGGGAGACGAUGUGACUCUGGAGUGUCUGGCAAAGAAAUGUCCCACCAGUGUCCCCGCUGAUUUCUACAAAGACGGCUCCCUCAACAGGACUGAGCUGACGCGUCGCAUGACCAUCCGCCGCGUGUCCAGGUCUGAUGCAGGCCUCUACAGGUGCAGCAUCAGCACCUGUGGAGAGUCGAAGCCCAGCUGGCUGCUGGUCAGAGAUGGCUGUAGGAAGCCUCCACUCCCCACAGCUUCAGGCCUGCAUAUGCUGAGAGUGAUACGCUACGUGGUGGUGGCGUCCCCGUACUGCGUCUCCACUGUCCUCAUGCUGUCUCUAUGCUGCCGCAGGCCGACAGGAAGUACAGCUGAGGCUGAUGGGAAAGUCACAGAGCUCAGCAACGCCCCCCAGUGGAUUAAACACACAAGUGGCACAAUCAGGAAGAAAAGUCAGUCAUUAGUCAGUUAGUUUUUGAUCACGAGUCAGUGAUUACACUUCAUCCUGAGGGGAACAUGAACGAUUGAACUAAAGAGGAGGGAAGCCGCCUGUUUCCAUGACGAUGCGUCCAGCCAAAGAGGAUGACGAGCGAAUGGGCCAAAUGCAUGAUGAUGUCACUGAUGAUGUCACCACCGAGCAUCAUUUCUAAGCUGAAGUCUUUCCUUCAGGCUGUCUUUAAUAAAACGACUGAUUUGUCUUUGA